ACUUGUCCCUAACCAGUUCAAGAGAAGCAAACACAUCCUGCAGCUAGGUCGGAAAGAGAAUUCUUCCAAAGAAAUGAAAAUAGCAUUUUGUCCAUUCCAACAACAGAGGAAUCAAAAUGAAGCAUUCACAAAACAGUCUUUCAAACGGGGAAGUCGUUUGUUGUUCAACGGUGCUUCUCUUCUGAAAAAUCCAUCUUUGUUCAAAUUAUUUUUGGCUUGGAAUUGCUAUAUCUCACUUGAUCAUAAGUCACUCGGUUUUUCACUGUCUGCUACCAACACCAGUCCUAUGAGAUUCAGCCAAUUUUUCUCAUGGUCGCCCAUCACAGACUCCAUUUUCUUAUGUAUGAGAACUCCAUGGAAAGAUGUAGGCAAUUUGACGUCCCGUAGUGGUGAAUUAUCUCACCGAACAUGCUGGCACAGCGAGUAACAAGAAACACAGCAAACUGAGGGCCAUAUCUGCAUACAGAGUAUUGACACAUUGACUAUAAUCUUAUUACGGGUUUAUGCUGGUGUAAGUAUAAAUCACAAAAGAAACUUCCACUAUUACAGAAGUUGCUGCUAAAAUUCCCAGCUAUAUGUUGCAGUGGAACAAUACACUCAACCAGUAUGCAAAUAUCACUUCAUUAAUUUAGAGUAAUUCAUGGCCACAGUUUAUGUCAUUCAUUUAUCUCCACCCCACACCCCCAAAUAACACUCUACCAUAGGAUUCUGGACAGGAAAUCUGGCAGGAAUUUACUGGUAGGAAAUUAUUUCCUGCCAGUAAAUUCUUAGUAACUGCUAUAUAAGGAAGGGACGUGGUGGUGCUGUGGGCUAAACCGCAGAAGCCUGUGCUGCAGGGUCAGAAGACCAAGCAGUUGUAAGAUCGAAUCCACGCGACGGAGUCAGCGCCCAUCGCCUGUCCCAGCUCCCGCCAACCUAGCGGUUCGAAAGCAUGCAAAUGCAAGUAGAUAAAUAGGGACCACCUCGGUGGGAAGGUAACAGCGUUCCGUGUCUAAGUCGCACUAGCCAUGUGACCACGGAAGAUUGUCUUCAGACAAAAUGCUGGCUCUAUGUCUUGGAAACAGGGAUGAGCACCGCCCCCUAGAGUCGAACAUGACUGGACAAAAAUUGUCAAGGGGAACCUUUACCUUUACCUUUUGCUAUAUAAGUAGUUUGGCAAUCGUUUCCAAGGUUUUCCAGGGAGAGAAUACUCAGAUGUAGUUUACCAUUCCCUUCUUCUGGGGGCGUUCUGGGACAGUGCAACCUGCCCAAGGCUAUACAGGCUGGUUCUUCUCCCAUGAUACAGGAGUGGGGAACUGAACUCCCAACCUCCCGGGUCCAAAGUUAUGGGCCUAAAGCAUGGAGCUAUCCAGUCAGGUACCCU
rnacentral:lncRNA from 1 species